rnacentral:tRNA from 1 species
UGUGGCUCAGUUGGUAGAGUGUUUGCCUCAUAUGCACAAGGCCCUGGGUUCAAUCCCCAGCA